rnacentral:rRNA from 1 species
UUAAGUAAGAAAGAGCGUAUGGCGAAUGCCUAGGCACAAAGAGGCGAAGAAGGACGCAGCAAACGGCGAAACGCGACGGCGAGCAGUAAGCAGGCAAGGACCCGUCGAUGUCCGAAUGGGGGAACCCGGCAUCCGUAAUGGGAUGUCAGCGCAUGAUGAAUAAAUAGUGAUGCGUGGCGAGACGCAGGGAACUGAAACAUCUCAGUACCUGCAGGAGAAGAAAGUAAAGAACGAUUCCGUAAGUAGCGGCGAGCGAAAGCGGAGGAGCCCAAACCAUCGCAAAGAUGGGGUUAUAGGGCUGUCAGCGAAGCAGACAUGACAUGAUAGGAGAAGCUUCUGGGAAGGAGCGACGAAGAGGGUGACAUUCCCGUAUCCGAAAUCGUGAAGUGAUGCGAGACAGUACCUGAGUACGUCGGGGCACGUGGAAUCCUGACGGAAUUAUCGAGGACCAUCUCGAAAGGCUAAAUACUCCUUUGUGACCGAUAGUGAACCAGUACCGUGAGGGAAAGGUGAAAAGAACCCCGGGAGGGGAGUGAAAGAGAACCUGAAACCAUAUGCUUACAAGAAGUCAGAGCCCGUUAAGGGGUGAUGGCGUGCCUUUUGUAGAAUGAGCCGGCGAGUUAUGAUAUGCAGCGAGGUUAAGCAGGAGAUGCGGAGCCGAAGCGAAAGCGAGUCUGAAUAGGGCGAGAGUUGUAUGUCAUAGACCCGAAACCGAGUGAUCUAGCCAUGAUCAGGUUGAAGUUGGGGUAAAACCCGAUGGAGGACCGAACCGACCCCCGUUGAAACGUUGGCGGAUGAAUUGUGGCUAGGGGUGAAAUUCCAAACGAACUCGGAGAUAGCUGGUUCUCCCCGAAAUAGCUUUAGGGCUAGCGUCAGAGUGAAAGUUAUGUGAAGGUAGAGCACUGAAUAUGUGAUGGCCUCAUCCCGAGGUACUGAAUAUAAUCAAACUCCGAAUGUCACAGGAACAUAUCUGGCAGUCAGACUGCGGGUGAUAAGGUCCGUAGUCAAAAGGGAAACAGCCCAGACCAUCAGCUAAGGUCCCAAAAUAUAUGCUAAGUGGAAAAGGAUGUGGAGAUGUCCAGACAACCAGGAGGUUGGCUCAGAAGCAGCCACCCUUUAAAGAGUGCGUAACAGCUCACUGGUCGAAUGACUCUGCGCCGAAAAUUUACCGGGGCUAAGCAUAAUACCGAAGCUAUGGAUUUAUACGACAAGUAUAAGUGGUAGGGGAGCGUUCCUGUCAGCGAGGAAGCAUGACCGCAAGGACAUGUGGAGCGGCAGGAAGAGAGAAUGCCGGUGUGAGUAGCGGAACGUGGGUGAGAAUCCCACGCACCGAAAACCCAAGGUUUCCAGAGGAAGGUUCGUCCGCUCUGGGUAAGUCGGGACCUAAGGCGAGGCCGAAAGGCGUAGUCGAUGGACAACGGGUGGAGAUUCCCGUACCUGAUGAAGAGGCAAUGGAGUGACGGAGCAGGCUAGGCGAUCCAGCUGCUGGAAUAGCUGGUGCAAGCGAGGUAGGGGACAUCCAGGCAAAUCCGGAUGUUGAAACCCGAAGGCGUGACGCGUAUGGAACAUUACGAUAAGUACAGAAGUCGCCGAAGCAAGCUUCCAAGAAAAGCUUCUAGCAAUCAACUCUUUGUCAGCCCGUACCGAAAAUGGACACACAUGGGUGAGGAGAGAAUCCUAAGGUGAGCGAGAGAACUAUAGCUAAGGAACUCUGCAAAAUGACUCCGUAACUUCGGGAGAAGGAGUGCUCAUUGAGAGAUGAGCCGCAGUAAAACGGCCCAAGCGACUGUUUACCAAAAACACAGCUCUCUGCCAAGACGCAAGUCGAAGUAUAGGGGGUGACGCCUGCCCGGUGCUGGAAGGUUAAGAGGAGUGGUCAGCGCAAGCGAAGCCAUGAAUUGAAGCCCCAGUAAACGGCGGCCGUAACUAUAACGGUCCUAAGGUAGCGAAAUUCCUUGUCAGGUAAGUUCUGACCCGCACGAAAGGCGUAACGAUUUGGGCGCUGUCUCAGCUGUAGACUCGGUGAAGUCUUAGUACCUGUGAAGAUGCAGGUUACCCGCGACUAGACGGAAAGACCCCAUGGAGCUUUACUGUAGCUUGAUAUUGGAUUUUGAUGCAUGAUGUACAGGAUAGGUAGGAGACGAAGAGACGGAUACGCCAGUAUUCGAGGAGUCGCCGUUGGGAUACUACCCUUCAUGUAUUGAAGUUCUAACCGGACGCCAUAAGCUGGCGACGGGACAGUGUCAGGUGGGCAGUUUGACUGGGGCGGUCGCCUCCCAAAGAGUAACGGAGGCGCCCAAAGAU